AUUUUCCCUAGUGUCAUAGGCAGUACAAAUGAAGCAGCAGCAACUGAUUAUACAUCACUGACAGCAUAAAACAGAACAAACAUCCCUGAAAAGCCCAUGCCAGUUGGAUGAGUUGGCCUGACACUGCUUUUACAGCACAGACUUUCUUGGAGGCAAUCAGAAGGAAAAUCAGAGUCCGACAGAGGUGCUCUUUUAUGGGCUAUUAGGUUAAAUGGAGAACAAUAGCCAGUGACGCAACAAGGGAAUUGCAAGAAGAAUGAGUAUCUGGUAUGCAGACUUCCAGUGAAUUGAAAGUUCCAUCUUGAGUUGAGGUUUCAACAAGUGUUCUUCCUGGAUCUGGGUGUCUAGUGAGAUGUUUUCCAAGGAUACAGAAAAUCAGUCAUUGUGAUAACAUAGAUAUUAAGCCGCACAAGUUUGAAACACUUCUGUCAAAGACAUCUGUUCUGCAAGUAUAGGGUGGUCCAAGGCAAUGUAAGAAGGCAGGCUCUGGAUGUAACAACUGUCAAGAAAUCCAAUUCCAAACACCUAAUCUACAGCUGUACUGAUUAGGGCAGUAUAGUAUUCUGCACUGUGAGAGCUAAUGAGCCAACAGAAAACUAUGAAUUACCAUUAAAGUUGCUUUUAAGCUGUUUCCUUCACAGCGUAUCAGCUAGACAACCUUCCCACUCUCCUGUAACCCAGUACAGAAUCCUCUGUCUGUAUCAUACUCUGCAAGUAUCAUUGAUCAUGAUCUCUAUCAAGCAUUCUUAAAACUACAGUACCCAUGGUCUGAAGUGAAGAAAUAGAUUGACAGAGCCAGAAGAAUAUCCAGAAGUCACUACAGGACAGGCCCAACAAAAAAAGUAACA